AGAUUGAACGCUGGCGGCAGGCCUAACACAUGCAAGUCGAGCGGUAGAGAGGUGCUUGCAUCUCUUGAGAGCGGCGGACGGGUGAGUAAUGCCUAGGAAUCUGCCUAGUGGUGGGGGAUAACGUUCGGAAACGGACGCUAAUACCGCAUACGUCCUACGGGAGAAAGCGGGGGACCUUCGGGCCUCGCGCCAUUAGAUGAGCCUAGGUCGGAUUAGCUAGUUGGUGAGGUAAUGGCUCACCAAGGCGACGAUCCGUAACUGGUCUGAGAGGAUGAUCAGUCACACUGGAACUGAGACACGGUCCAGACUCCGUACGGGAGGCAGCAGGUGGGGAAUA
rnacentral:rRNA from 1 species